CGUCGUACCGCCGUAAUCCAACCAUCUAGGUGGGAUCAUGUUGGGUGCUAAGGAGCCCUAACCGCCUUUUUCGCUCGCGUGUUGUGCUUCGUUGGUGGUACUUAUUCGCAUGGUAGGGUUAACAUCAAUUUCGGUCGUCAUAAAAAUGACGGGAGGAAUGUAGCUUUGAUCUCGUAUUAAAGUGUUUAUAGCCUCUGGUAGAUGUGAUGAUCGGGAUUGAGGAUUGCAACGAACCCUCAGGGCCAAUCGUCUGGCCUCUGGUGGUCGCUCUGGUUCCGAAAGCUUGCUUACGGUCGUCAGAGUUUGGUGCCAAAAGGUUAGAACGGGAUGAU
rnacentral:rRNA from 1 species